GAUUGAACGCUGGCGGCAGGCCUAACACAUGCAAGUCGAGCGGAAACGAGUUAUCUGAACCUUCGGGGAACGAUAACGGCGUCGAGCGGCGGACGGGUGAGUAAUGCCUAGGAAAUUGCCCUGAUGUGGGGAUAACCAUUGGAAACGAUGGCUAAUACCGCAUAAUGCCUAACGGGGCCAAAGAGGGGGGGACCCUUCGGGGCCUCUCGCGUCAGGAUAUGCCUAGGUGGGAUUAGCUAGUUGGUGAGGUAAUGGCUCACCAAGGCGACGAUCCCCUAGCUGGGUCUGAGAGGAUGAUCAGCCACACUGGAACUGAGACACGGGUCCAGACUCCUACGGGAGGCAGCAGUGGGGAAUAUUGCACAAUGGGCGCAAGCCUGAUGCAGCCAUGCCGCGUGUGUG
rnacentral:rRNA from 1 species